AUGGAGCAACUGGAUGAUCAUGGGAAAAUUGAAGGUAAUACCUCUAAGGAGGAGGGGAAAACUAUGUUAACUAUCUCCCAUACCUCCCAUGAGUUUAUGGAAGACUUGAAGGAGACAGAUUUAUGUGCUGCACUUGUUGUAAAAGGAGAAGAGCACCUGACUGUUGAAAUUCCAGCAAAGGUAAGUGGUUUAUUGGCAGAAUUUCAGAACAUACUUGGAGAGCCACAUAGAAUUGACUUAAUUCUGGGAGCAAGUCUUCCUGAUCUUUCACACUGUCGAAUAAGCCCAAAAGAGCAUGAUAUAUUGAAGGAGAAAGUGGAGGAAUUGCUGCAAAAGGGGCACAUUCGAGAAAGUAUUAACCCAUGUGCUGUACCAGCCCUGCUCGCGCCAAAGAAAGAUGGGUCUUGGCGCAUGUGUAUGGACAGUAGAGCCAUUAACAAGAUCACUGUAAGACCCGGGGAUGAAUGGAAAACAGCUUUCAAGACAAAGGAAGGGUUGUUUGAGUGGCUAGUCAUGCCAUUUGGACUCUUAAAUGCACCAAGUACCUUUAUGCACUUGAUGAAUCAAGUAUUUCGACCCUUAUUCCACGUUGUGGUCUAUUUCGAUGACAUAUUGAUCUAUAAGAAGGAUGAGGAUGAACACUUUGAUCACAUUCGGAAGGUGCUAGAAGUACCGAGGAAAAAUGAGCUCUACGUCAACUUGAAGAAAUGUGUUUUCCUACAAACACCUUCUUUUCCUAGGAUUCUUUAUAACAUGUGA
rnacentral:rRNA from 1 species